GAUCCUGGCUCAGGAUGAACGCUAGCUACAGGCUUAACACAUGCAAGUCGAGGGGCAGCAUGACCUAGCAAUAGGUUGAUGGCGACCGGCGCACGGGUGAGUAACACGUAUCCAACCUACCGGUUAUUCCGGGAUAGCCUUUCGAAAGAAAGAUUAAUACCGGAUAGUAUAACGAGAAGGCAUCUUUUUGUUAUUAAAGAAUUUCGAUAACCGAUGGGGAUGCGUUCCAUUAGUUUGUUGGCGGGUAACGGCCCACAAG
rnacentral:rRNA from 1 species